UACGGGGGGGGCAAGCGUUGUUCGGAAUUACUGGGCGUAAAGGGCUCGUAGGCGGCCAACUAAGUCAGACGUGAAAUCCCUCGGCUUAACCGGGGAACUGCGUCUGAUACUGGUUGGCUUGAAUCCGGGAGAGGGAUGUGGAAUUCCAGGUGUAGCGGUGAAAUGCGUAGAGAUGUGGAGGAACACCGAUGGCGAAGGCAGCCUCCUGGGCCAGCACUGACGCUCAUGCACGAAAGCGUGGGGAGCAAACAGG
rnacentral:rRNA from 1 species